UACGUAGGGGGCAAGCGUUAUCCGGAUUUACUGGGUGUAAAGGGGGCGCAGACGGCGAUGCAAGCCAGGAGUGAAAGCCCGGGGCCAACCCCGGGACUGCUCUUGGAACUGCGUGGCUGGAGUGCAGGAGGGGCAGGCGGAAUUCCUGGUGUAGCGGUGAAAUGCGUAGAUAUCAGGAGGAACACCGGUGGCGAAGGCGGCCUGCUGGACUGCAACUGACGUUGAGGCCCGAAAGCGUGGGGAGCAAACAGG
rnacentral:rRNA from 1 species